CAUGGGCAGAAAGGCAGCAGUGGACGAAGGGGUAGAAACGGCCUCGGAGGAAUGCCAGGUGAACGUGGACAAGCUGGUUUAAGAGGAGACGCUGGAUAUUCUGGAAUUGACAAUGAUGACAUCGGUCCUCUGGGUGAAAGCGGAAAACCAGGGCGGCGGGGAGACACAGGAGCUGAUGGCACACCAGGAAGACCGGGAGAGCAGGGUGCA